UACGUCGGGUGCAAGCGUUAAUCGGAAUUACUGGGCGUAAAGCGUGCGCAGGCGGCUAUGCAAGACAGAUGUGAAAUCCCCGGGCUCAACCUGGGAACUGCAUUUGUGACUGCAUGGCUAGAGUACGGUAGAGGGGGAUGGAAUUCCGCGUGUAGCAGUGAAAUGCGUAGAUAUGCGGAGGAACACCGAUGGCGAAGGCAAUCCCCUGGACCUGUACUGACGCUCAUGCACGAAAGCGUGGGGAGCAAACAGG
rnacentral:rRNA from 1 species